GCUAACUCCGUGCCCGAGGCCGCGGUAAUACGGAGGAUCUAAGCGUUAUCCGGAAUCAUUGGGUUUAAAGGGUCCGUAUGCGGGUUAGUAAGUCAGUGGUGAAAGCCCAUCGCUCAACGGUGGAACGGCCAUUGUUACUGCUAUACUUGAAUUAUUAGGAAGUAACUAGAAUAUGUAGUGUAGCGGUGAAAUGCUUAGAGAUUACAUGGAAUACCAAUUGCGAAGGCAGGUUACUACUAAUGGAUUGACGCUGAUGGACGAAAGCGUGGGUAGCGAACAGGAUUAGAUACCCGGGUAGUC
rnacentral:rRNA from 1 species